rnacentral:rRNA from 1 species
AUACGUAGGGGGCGAGCGUUGUCCGGAAUGAUUGGGCGUAAAGGGCGCGUAGGCGGCCCGGUAAGUCUGGAGUGAAAGUCCUGUUUUUAAGAUGGGAAUUGCUUUGGAUACUGUCGGGCUUGAGUGCAGGAGAGGUAAGUGGAAUUCCCAGUGUAGCGGUGAAAUGCGUAGAGAUUGGGAGGAACACCAGUGGCGAAGGCGACUUACUGGACUGUAACUGACGCUGAGGCGCGAAAGUGUGGGGAGCAAACAGGAUUAGAUACCCUGGUAGUCCACACUGUAAACGAUGAAUGCUAGGUGUAGGGGGUAUCGACCCCUUCUGUGCCGCAGUCAACACAAUAAGCAUUCCGCCUGGGGAGUACGGCCGCAAGGUUGAAACUCAAAGGAAUCGACGGGG